rnacentral:misc_RNA from 1 species
GAUGAAGAACGCAGCGAAAUGCGAUAAGUAGUGUGAAUUGCAGAAUUCAGUGAAUCAUCGAAUCUUUGAACGCACAUUGUGGCCAUAGGUAUUCCUUUGGCCAUGCCUGUUCGAGCGUCAUUUACACCCUCAAGCCUAGCUUGGUGUUGGGCGCCUGUCCCGCCGUUUUCGCGCGCGGACUCGCCUCAAAGUCAUUGGCGGCGGUCGUGCCGGCCCCCUCGCGCAGCACAUUUGCGCUUCUCGGAGGCCCGGCGGAUCCGCGCUCCAGCAAGACCUUUCACGACUUGACCUCGGAUCAGGUAGGGAUACCCGCUGAACUUAAGCAUAUCAAUAAGCGGAGGA